rnacentral:rRNA from 2 species
AGCAGCCGCGGUAAUUCCAGCUCCAAUAGCGUAUAUUAAAGUUGUUGCAGUUAAAAAGCUCGUAGUUGAAUUUCGGGAUCAGAUUGUCGGUCGUGCCUCGGUACGCACUGGCAUUAUUGGUUCCUACCUUCUGAAGAACCGCGAUGUCAUUAAUUUGGUGUCGUGGGGAAUCAGGACUGUUACUUUGAAAAAAUUAGAGUGUUUAAAGCAGGCGCACGCUUGAAUACAUUAGCAUGGAAUAAUGAAAUAGGACGUUUGAUUCUAUUUUGUUGGUUUCUAGGAUCGACGUAAUGAUUAAUAGGGAUAGUUGGGGGCAUUAGUAUUCAAUUGUCAGAGGUGAAAUUCUUGGAUUUAUUGAAGACUAACUACUGCGAAAGCAUUUGCCAAGGAUGUUUUCAUUAAUCAAGAACGAAAGUUAGGGGAUCGAAGACGAUCAGAUACCGUCGUAGU